rnacentral:rRNA from 1 species
CCUACGGGAGGCAGCAGUGGGGAAUAUUGCACAAUGGGGGAAACCCUGAUGCAGCGACGCCGCGUGAGUGAAGAAGUAUUUCGGUACGUAAAGCUCUAGCAGCAGGGAAGAAAAUGACGGUACCUGACUAAGAAGCCCCGGCUAACUACGUGCCAGCAGCCGCGGUAAUACGUAGGGGGCAAGCGUUAUCCGGAUUUACUGGGUGUAAAGGGAGCGUAGACGGCAGCGCAAGUCUGGAGUGAAAUCCCAUGGCUUAACCAUGGAACUGCUUUUGAAACUGUGCAGCUAGAGUGCAGGAGAGGUAAGCGGAAUUCCUAGUGUAUCGGUGAAAUGCGUAGAUAUUAGGAGGAACACCAGUGGCGAAGGCGGCUUACUGGACUGUAACUGACGUUGAGGCUCGAAAGCGUGGGGAGCAAACAGGAUUAGAUACCCCUGUAGUC